rnacentral:rRNA from 1 species
UAAUACGUAGGGGGCAAGCGUUGUCCGGAAUCAUUGGGCGUAAAGAGCGUGUAGGCGGUCCGAUUAGUCGGCUGUGAAAGUCCAGGGCUCAACCCUGGGAUGCCGGUCGAUACUGUCGGACUAGAGUCCGGAAGAGGCAAGUGGAAUUCCCGGUGUAGCGGUGAAAUGCGCAGAUAUCGGGAGGAACACCAAUGGCGAAGGCAGCUUGCUGGGACGGUACUGACGCUGAGACGCGAAAGCGUGGGGAGCAAACAGGAUUAGAUACCCUGGUAGUCCACGCCGUAAACGAUGGGCACUAGGUGUGGGAGGUGUCGACUCCUCCCGUGCCGGAGCUAACGCAUUAAGUGCCCCGCCUGGGGAGUACGGCCGCAAGGCUA